GGUCAAUCUACCCUCAGGACGGAGAUAACCUCGGGAAACUGAGGCUAAUAUCCGAUAGAUAAUGGAUCCUGGAAUGGUUCAUUAUUCAAACGGCACAUUGCUCAUGCGUAGUGUGUCGCCUGAGGAUGAGACUGCACCCUAUCAGGUAGUUGGUGGGGUAAUGGCCCACCAAGCCUAUAACGGGUACGGGCCCUGAGAGGGGGAGCCCGGAGAUGGGCACUGAGACAAGGGCCCAGGCCCUACGGGGCGCAGCAGGCGCGAAACCUCUGCAAUGCGCGAAAGCGCGACAGGGCCACCCCGAGUGCUAGCCGCUGAGGUUAGCUUUUCCUUAGUGUAGUAAGCUAAGGGAAUAAGCGGGGGGCAAGCCUGGUGUCAGCCGCCGCGGUAAUACCAGCUCCGCGAGUGGUCGGGACGAUUAUUGGGCCUAAAGCGUCCGUAGCCGGCCUAUCAAGUCUCUGGUUAAACCUCAAGGCUCAACCUUGAGAUUGCUGGAGAUACUGUUAGGCUAGGGGGCGGGAGAGGUUGAGGGUACUUCGCGGGUAGGGGCGAAAUCCUAUAAUCCGCGAAGGACCACCAGUGGCGAAGGCGCUCAACUGGAACGCGCCCGACGGUGAGGGACGAAAGCCAGGGGAGCAAAGGGGAUUAGAUACCCCCGUAGUCCUGGCUGUAAACGAUGCGGGCUAGGUGUUGGGUUGGCUUCGUGCCAACCCGGUGCCGCAGUGAAGACGAUAAGCCCGCCGCCUGGGAAGUACGGCUGCAAGGCUGAAACU
rnacentral:rRNA from 1 species